UCUCCGUUGGUGAACCAGCGGAGGGAUCAUUACCGAGUCUUACAACUCCCAAACCCCUGUGAACUUAUACCUUUACCGUUGCUUCGGCGGGUUAACGCCCCGGAAGGCCCUGGAAAGGCCGCCGGAACCAGGCGCCCGCCCGGGGACCCAAACCCUUGUAUGAUUUUCGUCAAUGGCAUGUCAGAGUGGAAUCAUAAACAAAUGAAUCAAAACUUUCAACAACGGAUCUCUUGGUUCUG
rnacentral:misc_RNA from 1 species